rnacentral:rRNA from 1 species
CAAUGAUGCAUAGCCGAGUUGAGAGACUGAUCGGGCCACAUUGGGACUGAGACACGGCCCAAAACUCCUACGGGGAGGCAGCAGUAGGAAUCUUCCACAAUGGACGCAAGUCUGAUGGAGCAACGCCGCGUGAGUGAAGAAGGGUUUCGGCUCGUAAAAGCUCUGUUGGUAGUGAAGAAAGAUAGAGGUAGUAACUGGCCUUUAUUUGACGGUAAUUGCUUAGAAGUCACGGCUAACUACGUGCCAGCAGCCGCGGUAAU